rnacentral:rRNA from 1 species
AUUGAACGCUGGCGGCGUGCUUAACACAUGCAAGUCGAGCGGAAAGGCUCCUUCGGGGGUACUCGAGCGGCGAACGGGUGAGUAACACGUGAGUAAUCUGCCCUGCGCUCUGGGAUAGCCACCGGAAACGGUGAUUAAUACCGGAUAUGACCGCUACACGCAUGUGUUGGUGGUGGAAAGUUUUUCGGCGCCGGAUGUGCUCGCGGCCUAUCAGCUUGUUGGUGAGGUAAUGGCUCACCAAGGCUUUGACGGGUAGCCGGCCUGAGAGGGUGAGCGGUCACACUGGGACUGCGACGAGGCCCAGACUCCUACGGGAGGCAGCAGUGGGGAAUAUUGGACAAUGGGCGGAAGCCUGAUCCAGCAACGCCGCGUGAGGGAUGACGGCCUUCGGGUUGUAAACCUCUUUCAGUACCGACGAAGCGAAAGUGACGGUAGGUACAGAAGAAGGACCGGCUAACUACGUGCCAGCCGCCGCCGUAAAAC